GCGGCCGUGACCCUGCUGGAGUGCGGGGGGGACCUCCAGCCCCCCGGGGGAUCCCUGCGCCUCCUCUGCCGAGGGUCCGGGUUCAGUUUUGGGGAUAAUGGAAUGUACUGGAUCCGCCAGAGGCCCGGGCAGGCUUUGGAAUACGUCGCAGGCAUCUACUACAAUAGUGCCAACACCUACUACGCGCCAUCGGUCAAGGGUCGGUUCAGGAUCUCCAGGGACAACGGGCAGAGCUCGGUGAUGCUGACCAUGAACAACCUCAAGGACGAGGAUUCCGCCAUUUAUUUCUGCGCCAAGGGGACAAAGUUUGAGGAUUCGGUCAGCGGCUACUGGUGCAGGGAGCACAAAGUGGGGAUUUGGGGCAGAUUCGGGCGAUUUUUGGUGCCAACUUAUUUGGGUCUGGGGCAGUACUAG